CCGAUACGCGAUUGAUUGGACGGCCGCGAUUGGCCCUUGUGCCAGCAGCCGCGGUGAUUCCAGCUCCAUAGCGUAUAUAAAUGUUGUUGCCGUUAAAAAGCUCGUAGUCGAACUUCGGCCUUUGCCGCCCGGUCCGCCUAUUUGGGUGUGUACUGGAGCGGUGGAGGCUUACCUCGUGGUGAACUGCCAUGUCCUUUACUGGGUGUGGUAGGGAACCAUGACUUUUACUGUGAAAAAAUUAGAGUGUUCAAAGCAGGCUUACGCCCGAAUACAUUAGCAUGGAAUAAUAAAAUAGGACGUGCGGUCCUAUUUUGUUGGUUUCUAGGAUCGCCGUAAUGAUUAAUAGGGAUAGUUGGGGGCAUUCGUAUUCAAUUGUCAGAGGUGAAAUUCUUGGAUUUAUUGAAGACGAACUACUGCGGAAGCAUUUGCCAAGGAUGUUUUCAUUGAUCAAGAACGAAGGUUGGGGGAUCGAAAACGAUCAGAUACCGUUGUAGUCUUAACAGUAAACGAUGCCGACUAGGGAUCGGAUGAGGUUUUUAAUGACUCAUUCGGCACCUGAAGAGAAAUCUUUAAGUCAGGUUCGGGGGGGAGUAUGGUCGCAAAGCUGAAACUUAAAGGAAUUGACGGAAGGGCACCACCAGGUGUGGAGCCUGCGGCUUAAUUUGACUCAACACGGGGAAACUCACCAGUCCAGACACGACAAGGAUUGACAGAUUGAUAGCUCUUUCUUGAUUUCGUGGUUGGUGUGCAUGGCCGUCUUAGUUGGUGGAGUGAUUUGUCUGGUUAAUUCCGAUACGAACGAGACCUUAACCUGCUAAAUAGCCCAGCCGACUUUU
rnacentral:rRNA from 1 species